UUCGCCAUUUAAAGUGGUACGCGAGCUGGGUUUAGAACGUCGUGAGACAGUUCGGUCCCUAUCUGCCGUGGGCGCUGGGGAAUUGAGGGGGGCUGGUCCCAGUCCGAGGGGACCGGGGGGGACGCAUCACGGGGGGUCGGGUUUUCAUGCCAAUGGCACUCCCCGG
rnacentral:rRNA from 1 species